rfam:Gossypium raimondii Chr03_contig_127, whole genome shotgun sequence.
UAUUAAAAAUUUCAUUUAUUUAUAUUGUUAAAGAUUAGUGUAACUGCUGGAAUAAAUAAAUAAUACGUGUACCUCAUGUUGACAUAUAUGAACUAAUUUUUAAUAAUAGUAAUGGAUGAACUUUUUAACA